UACGGGGGGGGCAAGCGUUGUUCGGAAUUACUGGGCGUAAAGGGCUCGUAGGUGGCCAACUAAGUCAGACGUGAAAUCCCUCAGCUUAACUGGGGAACUGCGUCUGAUACUGGAUGGCUUGAGUUUGGGAGAGGGAUGCGGAAUUCCAGGUGUAGCGGUGAAAUGCGUAGAUAUCGGAAGGAACACCAGUGGCGAAAGCGGCUUCCUGGUCCAGCACCGACAUUCAGGCACGAAAGCGUGGGGAGCAAACAGG
rnacentral:rRNA from 1 species